GACGAACGCUGGCGGCGUGCUUAACACAUGCAAGUCGAACGAUGAAGCUAGAGCUUGUUCUGGUGGAUUAGUGGCGAACGGGUGAGUAACACGUGAGUAACCUGCCCCGAACUCUGGGAUAACUGCUGGAAACGGUAGCUAAUACCGGAUAUGACCAAUGAAGGCAUCUUCUGUUGGUGGAAAGAAUUUCGGUUCGGGAUGGACUCGCGGCCUAUCAGCUUGUUGGUGAGGUAACGGCUCACCAAGGCGACGACGGGUAGCCGGCCUGAGAGGGUGAUCGGCCACACUGGGACUGAGACACGGCCCAGACUCCUACGGGAGGCAGCAGUGGGGAAUAUUGCACAAUGGGCGCAAGCCUGAUGCAGCAACGCCGCGUGAGGGAUGACGGCCUUCGGGUUGUAAACCUCUUUUAGUAGGGAAGAAGCGAAAGUGACGGUACCUGCAGAAAAAGCACCGGCUAACUACGUGCCAGCCGCCGCCGUAA
rnacentral:rRNA from 1 species